CAGAGUUGCAAAACUCCCACUAAACCAUCGCUGAAUCGUUACCCUAACCGGUUGCCUUCGGCGCUGGCGGUCCCGGAGGUCUCCUCGGGCGCCCCCCUUGGGCUCCCCAUCGCGGGAGGCUGCCCGCCGGAAGUGCCUAUCAAACUCUUGAUACUUUAUGGCCUCUCUGAGUACUUGUAAAUAAGUCA
rnacentral:misc_RNA from 1 species